UUUUUGUGCCCUUUUUCCGCUGGACGAACUUGGCGCCCCGGCAUUCGGACGGUUAUUUUUGGGCUCGGCAUUGACCGCGGCCUAUUUUUGGCACACGGAGGCCCCUCGCAAAGUCUCGCGGCAUUCCGGGUCCAGCGGACGAAGUAGGCCAGACCCACCCCCCAUGGCUAUAGCCCACCCGUUUUUGUGGCCUUUUUCCGCUACACGAACUUGGCGCCCCGGCCUUCGGGCGGUAGUUUUUGGACCCGGCUUUGCCUGCGGCCUAUUUUUGGCACACGGAGGCCCCUCGCAAAGUCUCGCGGCAUUCCGAGUCCGGCGGACGAAGUAGGCCAGCCCCACCACCCAAGGCUAUAGCCCACCCGUUUUUGUGGCCUUUUUCCGCUGGACGAACUUGGCGCCCCGGCCUUUGGGCGGUUAUUUUUGGGCGCGGCUUUGCCCGCGGCCUAUUUUUGGCACACAGAGGCCCCUCACAAAGUCUCGCGGCAUUCCGAGUCCGGCGG
rnacentral:lncRNA from 1 species